UAACAGUGUCGAAAGGCAUGAAUCCGCAUGAGCUUGCUCAUAAGCGGAUGAAAGGACUUGAGACACGCCCGCAGCAUGAGCAUGAAAGCGGAGCGCAUGCUUCGCGAUAUGCGAAUGCUGUCGGAAGAUUGCGGGAGUGCACAGCACGGAGCAAUCUGUUA
rnacentral:sRNA from 1 species